AUUGAACGCUGGCAGCAGGCCUAACACAUGCAAGUCGAACGGGAACAGGAAGCAGCUUGCUGCUUUGCUGACGAGUGGCGGACGGGUGAGUAAUGUCUGGGAAACUGCCCGAUGGAGGGGGAUAACUACUGGAAACGGUAGCUAAUACCGCAUAACGUCGCAAGACCAAAGAGGGGAACUUUAGGGCCUCUUGCCAUCGAUGUGUCCCAGUUGGUAUUCGGUAGUGGGUGGGGUAACGGCUCACCUAGGCGACGAUCCCUAGCUGGUCUGAGAGGAUGACCAGCCACACUGGAACUGAGACACGGUCCAGACUCCUACGGGAGGCAGCAGUGGGGAAUAUUGCACAAUGGGCGCAAGCCUGAUGCAGCCAUGCCGCGUGUAUGAAGAAGGCCUUCGGGUUGUAAAGUACUUUCAGCGGGGAGGAAGGGAGUAAAGUUAAUACCUUUGCUCAUUGACGUUACCCGCAGAAGAAGCACCGGCUAACUCCGUG
rnacentral:rRNA from 1 species